rnacentral:rRNA from 1 species
CACGUAGGGGACGAGCGUUGUCCGGAUUCAUUGGGCGUAAAGCGCGCGUAGGCGGCUCGGAAAGUCGGUCGUGAAAUGCCGGGGCUCAACCCCGGGACUGCGUCCGAUACUUCCGGGCUGGAGGUAGGUAGGGGAGAUCGGAAUUCCUGGUGUAGCGGUGAAAUGCGCAGAUAUCAGGAGGAACACCGGUGGCGAAGGCGGGUCUCUGGACAUUUCCUGACGCUGAGGCACGAAAGCCAGGGGAGCAAACGGG